rnacentral:rRNA from 1 species
GAUGAACGCUGGCGGCGUGCCUAAUACAUGCAAGUCGAACGCAUUGAGAGAAGUGCUUGCACUUUUCAAUUUGAGUGGCGAACGGGUGAGUAACACGUGGGCAACCUACCUGAUAGCGGGGGAUAACGAGUGGAAACAUUCGCUAAUACCGCAUAACAAUAGAGAAGGCAUCUUCUUUAUUUAAAAGGCGCUUUCAAGCGUCACUAUCAGAUGGGCCCGCGGUGCAUUAGUUAGUUGGUGGGGUGAAGGCCUACCAAGACGAUGAUGCAUAGCCGAGUUGAGAGACUGAUCGGCCACAUUGGGACUGAGACACAGCCCAAACUCCUACGGGAGGCUGCAGUAGGGAAUCUUCCACAAUGGACGAAAGUCUGAUGGAGCAACGCCGCGUGUGUGAUGAAGGCUUUCGGGUCGUAAAGCACUGUUGUAUGGGAAGAAAUGCUAGGCUAGGAAAUGAGCUUAGUUUGACGGUACCAUACCAGAAAGGGACGGCUAAAUACGUGCCAGCCGCCGCAGUAA